CACGUAGGCACCAAGCGUUGUCCGGAUUUAUUGGGCGUAAAGAGCUCGUAGGCGGUUCAGUAAGUCAGGUGUGAAAUCUUUGGGCUUAACCCAAAGCGUGCACUUGAUACUGCUGUGACUUGAGUUCGGUAGGGGAGUGGGGAAUUCCUAGUGUAGCGGUGAAAUGCGCAGAUAUUAGGAGGAACACCGGUGGCGAAGGCGCCACUCUGGGCCGAUACUGACGCUGAGGAGCGAAAGCGUGGGGAGCGAACAGG
rnacentral:rRNA from 1 species